ACGGAAGGCAGCAGUGGGGAAUAUUGGACAAUGGGGGCAACCCUGAUCCAGCGACGCCGCGUGAGUGAAGAAGUAUUUCGGUAUGUAAAGCUCUAUCAGCAGGGAAGAUGAUGACGGUACCUGACUAAGAAGCCCCGGCUAACUACGUGCCAGCAGCCGCGGUAAUACGUAGGGGGCAAGCGUUAUCCGGAUUUACUGGGUGUAAAGGGAGCGUAGGCGGUCAGACAAGUCAGAUGUGAAAGCCCGGGGCUCAACUCCGGGACUGCAUUUGAAACUGUAGGACUAGAGUACUGGAGAGGCAAGCGGAAUUCCUAGUGUAGCGGUGAAAUGCGUAGAUAUUAGGAAGAACACCGGUGGCGAAGGCGGCUUGCUGGACAGAGACUGACGCUGAGGCUCGAAAGCGUGGGGAGCAAACAGGAUUAGAUACCCUGGUA
rnacentral:rRNA from 1 species